UGGAGGGUUGAGUUGAUGAGGAGAAGUAAUUUGCAAUUUAAAAUUGAAUUGAAAAUACUUAUUAAUCAAAUUCAACCUUGAAAUAUUACAUUUUAUUAAAAUCUAAGGUUUUAAUCCAGCUAGAUUAUUUUGACUUGAUCAAACAGUUGAGAGGUUUGCACAUUUACUCAAUGGAAAUUAUGAGUAGGCUUGGUACUCAUGCUAAUUUGU
rnacentral:lncRNA from 1 species